UACGGGGGGGGCAAGCGUUGUUCGGAAUUACUGGGCGUAAAGGGCUCGUAGGUGGCCAACUAAGUCAGACGUGAAAUCCCUCGGCUUAACCGGGGAACUGCGUCUGAUACUGGAUGGCUUGAGUUUGGGAGAGGGACGCGGAAUUCCAGGUGUAGCGGUGAAAUGCGUAGAUAUCUGGAGGAACACCGGUGGCGAAGGCGGCCUGCUGGGCAGUUUAGCUGACACUGAGGCGCGACAGCGUGGGGAGCAAACAGG
rnacentral:rRNA from 1 species